CAUGCAAGUCGAGCGGAAAGGCCCUUCGGGGUACUCGAGCGGCGAACGGGUGAGUAACACGUGAGCAACCUGCCCCAGGCUUUGGGAUAACCCCGGGAAACCGGGGCUAAUACCGAAUAUGACCUCCGAUCGCAUGGUUGGUGGUGGAAAGUUUUUCGGCUUGGGAUGGGCUCGCGGCCUAUCAGCUUGUUGGUGGGGUGAUGGCCUACCAAGGCGACGACGGGUAGCCGGCCUGAGAGGGCGACCGGCCACACUGGGACUGAGACACGGCCCAGACUCCUACGGGAGGCAGCAGUGGGGAAUAUUGCACAAUGGGCGGAAGCCUGAUGCAGCGACGCCGCGUGAGGGAUGACGGCCUUCGGGUUGUAAACCUCUUUCAGCAGGGACGAAGCGUAAGUGACGGUACCUGCAGAAGAAGCGCCGGCCAACUACGUGCCAGCAGCC
rnacentral:rRNA from 1 species